GAUGAACGCUGGCGGCGUGCCUAAUACAUGCAAGUCGAGCGAACGGACGAGAAGCUUGCUUCUCUGAUGUUAGCGGCGGACGGGUGAGUAACACGUGGAUAACCUACCUAUAAGACUGGGAUAACUUCGGGAAACCGGAGCUAAUACCGGAUAAUAUUUUGAACCGCAUGGUUCAAAAGUGAAAGACGGUGUUGCUGUCACUUAUAGAUGGAUCCGCGCUGCAUUAGCUAGUUGGUAAGGUAACGGCUUACCAAGGCAACGAUGCAUAGCCGACCUGAGAGAGUGAUAGGCCACACUGGAACUGAGACACGGUCCAGACUCCUACGGGAGGCAGCAGUAGGGAAUCUGACGCAAUGGGCGAAAGCCUGACGGAGCAACGCCGCGUGAGUGAUGAAGGUCUUCGGAUCGUAAAACUCUGUUAUUAGGGAAGAACAUAUGUGUAAGUAACUGUGCACAUCUUGACGGUACCUAAUCAGAAAGCCACGGCUAACUACGUG
rnacentral:rRNA from 1 species